AAGGAAUAUUGGUCAAUGGACGUAAGUCUGAACCAGCCCUGCCGCGUGAAGGAUGAAGGUCCUCUGGAAUGUCAACUUCUUUUAUCUGGGACGAAAACGGGAUUUUUAUCUCAAUUGACGGUACCAGAGGAAUAAGCACCGGCUAACUCCGUGCCAGCAGCUGCGGUAAUACGGAGGGUGCGAGCGUUAUCCGGAUUUACUGGGUUUAAAGGGUGCGUAGGUGGGCGUAUAAGUCAGUGGUGAAAUCUCCGAGCUUAACUUGGAAUCUGCCGUUGAUACUAUAGGUCUUGAAUUAUCUGGAGGUAAGCGGAAUAUGGCAUGUAGCGGUGAAAUGCUUAGAUAUGACAUAGAACAACAAUUGC
rnacentral:rRNA from 1 species